CCUACGGGAGGCAGCAGUGGGGAAUAUUGGACAAUGGGCGGCAAGCCUGAUCCAGAAAUACCGCGUGAGUGAAGAAGGCCUUCGGGUUGUUAAAGCAUUUUCAAUGGAGAAGAAAAGAUUAAGGUUAAUACCCUUGUCAUUGACGUUACCUUAAGAAGAAGCACCGG
rnacentral:rRNA from 1 species